GCUGUGUUGUGUAAAUGCGUUCGUGUUCUCAGUCUCCCUACCGACAGUGACAAGUCAAAGCCGCAGCUUUCCUCCUUAACUGCCACCUCUGUCCCGUUCCAUUUUGGAUCUUCAGCUCAGUUCUCACAGAAGCAUUCCCUAACGUGGCUCUCUCACUGUGCCUUGCUACCUGGCUUCUGUGAGAGUUCAGGAAGCAGGCGAGAAGAGUGACGCCAGUGCUAAAUAUGCAUAUUUGAAGGUUUGUGCAUCACUUAGGAUGGGAUUCCUUUUCUCUCCUCCAUGUGAUAUGAUAGUCCUUUCUGCAUAGCUGUCGUUCCUGGUAAACUUUGCUUGGCUUUUUUUUUUUGUUUGUUUUUUGUUUUUUUUUUAAAGCAUGUAACAGAUGUGUUUAUACCAAAGAGCCUGUUGUAUUGCUUAAUAUGUCCCCAUACUACGAGAAGGGUUUUGUAGAACUACUGGUGACAAGAAGCUCACAGAAAGGUUUCUUAAUUAGUGACGAAUAUGAAAAAGAAAGCAAAACCUCUUGAAUCUGAACAAUUCCUGAGGUUUCUUUGGGACAACAUGUUGUUCUUGGGGCCCUUCACACUGUAAAAUUGUCCUAGUAUUCAACCCCUCCAUGGAUUUGGGUCAAGUUGAAGGUACUAGGGGUGGGGACAUUCUUGCCCGUGAGGGAUUUGUGGGGAGAAGGUUAACCCUAAGCUACAGAUGUGGUCCACCUGAAUUAAAUUAUAUCAGAGUGGUAAUUCUAGGAUUGGUUCUGUGUAGGUGGUGUCAGGGAGGUGCAGGAUGGAGAUGGGAGAUUUCAUGGAACCCGGUCAGGAAAGCUCUGAACCAGGUGGAACACCGAGGGGCUGUCAACGAACUUGGAGUUUCUUCAUCAUGGGGAGGAAGAGUUUCCAGGGCAGGGCAGGUAGUCAGUUUAGCCUGCCGGCAACGUGGUGUGUGUUGUCUUUUCUUUAAUCAUUAUAUUAAGCUGUGCGUUCAGCAGUCUGUUGGUUGAGAUAACCACGCAUCAUUGUGUAGUUUGUCACUAGUGUUAUACCGUUUAUGUCAUUCUGUGUGUGAUCUUUGUGUUUCCUUUCCCCCAAGCAUUCUGGGUUUUUCCUAUUUAAAUACAGUUCUAGUUUCUAGGCAAACAUUUUUUUUUUUAACCUUUUCUCUAUAAGGGACAAGAUUUAUUGUUUUUAUAGGAAUGAGAUGCAGGGAAAAAACAAACCAACCCUGUCCCCACCUCCUCACCUCCCUAAUCCAAUAAGCAGUUAUUGAAGAUGGGAGUCUUAAAUUUAUGGGAAAAGAGGAUGCCUAGGAGUUUGCAUCGUUACCUGAGACAUCUGGCUAGCAGUGUGACUUUACAGACUUUGAGGUUGUCACUCUGCAAACUGACAUUUCAGAUUUUCCUAGAUAACCCAUCUGUGUCUGCUGAAUGUGUAUGCGCCAGACAUAGUUUUACAUUCAUUCUGGCCUGGGGCUUAACAUUGACUGCUUGCCCUGAUGGCAUGGAGGAGAGCCCUACGAACAUAGCGCUGACCUAGGUCAGCAUUGCCUGACCUUGGAACAGCUUAAGGCUUUAAACCUUCUCUUAGAACGUGCAUUUCCAGUUUCUCCCUUCCCAGGUGAGAGAGGAACUGGAAGGGUUGCAUAGGCACACACCAGGACACUUAGUCACUCCAGAGUCCCCAGUUGCAACUAGGAGGUGGUUACCCUGUUAACCCCAGGAAGAAGAACCCCAUUUCAAACAGUUCCGGCCAUUGAGAGCCUGCUUUUGUGGUUGCUCAUCCGUCAUCAUCCGCUAGAGGGGCUUAGCCAGGCCAGCACAGUACUGGCUGUCCUAUUCUGCAUUAGUAUGCAGGAAUUUACUAGUUGAGAUGGUUUGUUUUAGGAUAGGAGAUGAAAUUGCCUCUCGGUGACAGGAAUGGCCAAGCCUGCUUUGUGUUUUUUUUUAACUGAUGGAUGGUGCAGCAUGUCUCCACGUUUCCAUGGUUGUUUGUUGCUAAACUUUAUAUAAUGUGUGGUUUCAAUUCAAUUCAGCUUGAAAAAUAAUCUCACUAUAUGUAGCAGUACAUUAUAUGUACAUUAUAUGUAAUGUUAGUAUUUCUGCUUUGAAUCCUUGAUAUUGCAAUGGAAUUCCUACUUUAUUAAAUGUAUUUGAUAUGC
rnacentral:lncRNA from 1 species